UAGAAAGAUGUGCCCACUUUGCAUAUGGAGU
rnacentral:piRNA from 1 species